rnacentral:rRNA from 1 species
CGGACGGGUGAGUAACACGUGGGAAUCUGCCCUCAAGUGGUGAAUAACUGGCCGAAAGGCUAGCUAAUACGCCAUACGUCGCAAGAUGAAAGUAGCAAUACGCUCGAGGAUGAGCCCGCGUCCGAUUAGCUAGUUGGUAAGGUAAAGGCUUACCAAGGCUCCGAUCGGUAGCUGGUCUGAGAGGAUGAUCAGCCACAAUGGAACUGAGACACGGUCCAU